AGGCGUCGGGAGCUGCGCGUGCACGUGGCGGCAGCGGCACUGCGGCGGUUUGCUCGCCUUUCCCGCCUUUCCCGCCUUUCCCGCCUUUCCCGCCUUUCCCGCCUCAGCUUAGAGCGCGCGCACGGUAACGCGCUUCCCUCAGGGCGAGCCUUGCUUUGGGCCGCCUCAGCCUGCAUUCUCACCUCUGUGUGUGGUUACGGCGCUUGUGUCUUGCAGCUUCGCUUUUUAUUGGUAUACGUGGAACUGAAAAGCAAACAGAUCCACUGAAGUGUUGUGUUUUUUGCACCUAUCAUCACCCUCAAGUCUCCGUAUAACGUGUGGUAAAAAAUGGGGCAAUGGAGAAAUGACAUAUUCAAUGGACAGGGCACUAUAAUUCAUUGUUCCUGUGACAUCUGUGAUAGACUGUGGAUCAAUGGGUGCACUGCUGUGGAAACUGCAUGCUGCUAUGUGUUGUAAGAACACUCAGUUUGAG
ensembl:lncRNA